rnacentral:lncRNA from 1 species
UUAUUUAAGCUUAGUUUGACACUUAUGAAACCGGGCACAAGUGAUUUGAAAUCUAUUUUGUUCUAAAAUCGAAUUUGGCACUCUUGAAUUGUUUGAUUUUAUCUUCCAAGGAAUUUUUCUAAUUCAAUUGGAGUGAUCACCUAAUUAAUUUGGGAAUUUUUCUUAUAACCAUUUAAGUGCAAAUUGAGAAAUUGAAUUUCUCAAUUAUACUUAGAAUUACUGAUAAUUAAUUGGCCGCAGCUAAUUAAGACAACUUCGGAUUUAAUCUUAGAAGCCACUGGUGGAUUUUCUUUGGUUAAGGCAAGGCGA